rnacentral:ribozyme from 1 species
AUAUUAUAUAAUAAUAAUGAUGAUUUCUUCUCUUUUUUCUUCUUCCUUUUUCUUCUUCUUCAUUU